rnacentral:rRNA from 1 species
AUUGAACGCUGGCGGAAUGCUUUACACAUGCAAGUCGAACGGCAGCACGGACUUCGGUCUGGUGGCGAGUGGCGAACGGGUGAGUAAUGUAUUGGAACGUGCCCAGUCGUGGGGGAUAACGUAGUGAAAAUUACGCUAAUAACGCAUACGAUAUAUGGAUGAAAGCGGGGGAUCGCAAGACCUCGCGCGAUUGGAGCGGACGAUAUCGGAUUAGGUAGUUGGUGGGGGAAAGGCCCACCAAGCGAUCGAUCUGUAGCUGGUCUGAGAGGACGACCAGCCACACUGGAACUGAGACACGGUCCAGACUCCUACGGGAGGCAGCGGUGGGGAAUUUUGUACAAUGGGGGCAACCCUGAUCCAGCCAUUUCGCGUGUGCGAUGAAGGCCUUCGGGUUGUAAAGCACUUUUGGCAGGGAAGAAAAGGUUUGGGCUAAUACCCUGAGCCGCUGACGGUACCUGCAGAAUAAGCACCGGCUAACUACGUGCCAGCCGCCGCCGUAA